UGCCACACUCUCUGAAAUAAGUAACAUUAUUUUAAUCCUGGGAACUACCUGGCAUCACAGGCAGGGCUCUUCCUGCAGGUGGUAUGGUGGAAAGAUCGCAAGGUUCUGGGUCGGAAGAGCAGCUCCUGUCUGCAUCUGUUUCCUGUGGGCCAUGUGAUGCUGGGCAAGUCCUGUGAGCUAUGGGAGAGGCCUUGGCUUCUCACUCAGAGUCUGCUCCGGAGUAGGGAGGGAGGAGGUAGUCACGGAGGAGGACAGCCUCUCUGCCUUGCCUUGGGGACCUACCUCCAGGUUGAAGCUGUCCAGGGCUGGGUGGAGCUUCUCCUGGCAUGUGAGACAGUCCCUCUGACAACUGCUGAACACACUGGAGAAGAGGCUGAGCAGCAGCAGGUCACAAACCAGGACUUUCAUGGUGCAGGAGCAGGAAGCAGGUGCUGGAACAUACAGGAAGCAUGGCAGUGGUGGAAUUUCACUCCUGCCCACACCAGCUUGGCAUCUUUGCAAUACAGGCCCAACCAGGGAGGCUACAAAUAUUAGAAUCCACUUUGGACUGACAGGUGCCACACUGGCAUGCCAUUAGAGGUUGUGACAAAAACACCAGACGACUCAUUCUGGGAAGGGGAAGUUGAAGACUGAACGUGAUCGUAAUCUCUAAAACGAAUGGAGAAACUCAUAUGGAACCUGUGUUUGGACGAACGGAGGCAAGAUGGUGCACUUCCGGGUUCUUCAUCCCCCCCCACCCCCCAACUCUUCCCGCGCGUACGAAAAUGCAGCCGGCGCCCAGGGAAGGUGCAGACCAACUGGGCAUGC